GCGAAUCCCUCUCUUUCC
rnacentral:tRNA from 1 species